GACGAACGCUGGCGGCGUGCCUAAUACCUGCAAGUCGAACGCAGUGGGGACGGGUGAGUACCACGUGGGUAACCUCCCAUCAGAGGGGAUAACACUUGGAAACAGGUGCUAAACCGAUACUGAUGGAUGAACCCGCGGUGCAUUAGCUAGUUGGUGAGGUAACGGCUCACCAAGGCCACGAUGCCUAGCCGGCCAGAAAGGGAGAUCGUCUACACGGGGAGUGAGACACGGCCCAUACUCGUACGGGAGGCAGAAGGAGGGAAGCUUCGGGAAAGGACGAAAGUCUGCCCGAGCAACGAGGCGUGCGGGACGAAGGUUUUCGGGGCGUAAAACUCUGUUGUUAGAGAAGCGGUAUCUAACCAGAAAGCGACGGCUAACUACGUGCAAGCAGGCGCGGUAAUAC
rnacentral:rRNA from 1 species